rnacentral:rRNA from 1 species
CAUUAUUGAAACUCUCGAUUGCUGUGCGCCCUCGCGGGCUGCACGCCUUCGUUUCCACACACCUGUGCACCGCUCGAGGGGGGGAGACCUCCUUCGCUUUUACAACACGCUCCAGUCCUGAAUGUAACAUCUUAUAAAAACAAAUACAACUUUCAGCAACGGAUCUCUUGGCUCUCGCAUCGAUGAAGAACGCAGCGAAAUGCGAUAAGUAAUGUGAAUUGCAGAAUUCAGUGAAUCAUCGAAUCUUUGAACGCACCUUGCACUCCGUGGCUUUCCACGGAGUACGCCCGUUCGAGUGUCACGUUAACUCUCGCCAAGGGUAAAUUUUUUUUUACCUGGAGGCGGAUUUGGACGUUGCCGGCGCGUGAGCCCGGCUCGUCUCGAAAUGCAUUAGCGAUGUGCGAUGCGCGCGCGGUGUUGAUAAUUGUCUACGCCUAGCUCGUCUCCCACGUCGCUUCCAACCGUCGUGAAGACAACCAAAUCACAGUUUGACCUCGAAUCGGGCGGGACUACCCGCUGAACUUAA